CUCCCUGUCGGUAAAGCAGAAGGCCCUCUGGUCUGCUGUGACCCCUCAUUGGUUCUGGGGGGGGGUGUAUCUGUAGUGCAUCUCCAAGGUGGAUCCGUUUAAUCCAGAAGAUCCAAGAGGAACCGUGCCGAUCUGCCUGCACCUGAGUUCCUGAAGAGAGCCGCCAAUCACCUGAGGGCCCUGCUGUUAAAAGGGAGAUCUGGAGCAGGUGUUCCUUUAGUUGUCAUGCACGCACAAGAAGUGCAGGUGGUGUCUAGAUGGUUUGAAGAAGAACCAGGACGUAGGAGUGGGCUGAACUAGAGGGACCUGACAAAACCUCCCGGUGGGCCGGUUUUUACCUGGAGUUGAACUCCCAGUGUUGCUGG
ensembl:lncRNA